GACGAACGCUGGCGGCGUGCUUAACACAUGCAAGUCGAGCGGUAAGGCCUCUUCUUUGGUACACGCUCGGCGGACGGGUGAGUGACACGUAGGUGACCUGCCCUCACCUCUGGGAUAGGCCUGGGCAACUGGGUCUAAUACCUGAUAUGACCUUUCUUCUCAUGGGUUUUGGUGGAAAGUGUUUUCGGCGGGGGAUGGGCCCGCUGCCUGUGAGCUUGUUGGUGAGGUGAUUACCUACGAAGGCGACGACCGGUAGCCGGCCUGGGAGGCCGGCCGGCCACACUGUGAGUGAGGCACGAGACAGAUACCUACGGGAGGAGGCGGUGGGGAAUCAUACGGAAUGGAAGGAAGACGGAGGAAGCGACGGAGCGUGAGGGAUGACGGCGUGCGGGUAGCAAAUCUCUUUGGACACGGACGAAUUUGGACGGUAGGGGGAGAAGAAGCACCGGCUAACUACGUG
rnacentral:rRNA from 1 species